GUACCGGUGAAGACGCCGGUUACCCGCCAAAGGACGGAAAGACCCCGUGCACCUUUACUACAGCUUGGCAGUGAUGCAUGGCGCGGCGCGCGCAGGAUAGGUGGGAGGCGAGGAACCCGGGCCCGCGGGCCCGGGGGAGCCGGCCUUGAGAUACCACCCUCGUGGCGCUGUGGAUCUAACCCGGGGCCGUGAAGCCGGCCCGGGGACACUGCUUGGCGGGUAGUUUGACUGGGGCGGUCGCCUCCCAAAGAGUAACGGAGGCGCGCAAAGCUCGGCUCAGGCUGAUCGGAAACCAGCCGCGGAGCGCAAUGGCAGAAGCCGGGCUGACUGCGAGACCGACAGGUCGGGCAGGUGCGAAAGCAGGCCAUAGUGAUCCGGCGGUUCCGCAUGGAAGGGCCGUCGCUCAACGGAUAAAAGGUACGCCGGGGAUAACAGGCUGAUCCGGGCCAAGAGUUCACAUCGACGCCCGGGUUUGGCACCUCGAUGUCGGCUCAUCGCAUCCUGGGGGUGGAGCCGCUCCCAAGGGUUGGGCUGUUCGCCCAUUAAAGCGGUACGCGAGCUGGGUUCAGAACGUCGCGAGACAGUUCGGUCCUUAUCCUUGGUGGGCGCAGGAAACCUGAGGGGGGCUGCCUUCAGUACGAGAGGACCGAGGCGGACGAACCUCUUGUGAGCCAGCUGUCACGCCAGUGGCACCGCUGGGUAGCGAAGUUCGGAGGAGAGAAGCGCUGAAAGCAUCUAAGCGCGAAACCCGGCCCGAGACGAGGUUUCCCCAGGAGGGCACUCGCAGACGACGAGUUCGAUAGGGCGGAUGUGCAAGCGCGGCGACGCGCUCAGCUGACCGCUACUAACCGCCCCACCGGCUUGCCCGC
rnacentral:rRNA from 1 species